GUGAACCAUCGAGUCUUUGAACGCAAGUUGCGCCCGAGGGACCCUCCCGAGGGCACGCCUGCCUCAUGGGCGUUANAA
rnacentral:rRNA from 1 species